rnacentral:rRNA from 1 species
UACGUAGGGGGCAAGCGUGGUCCGGAAUCAUUGGGCGUAAAGAGCGUGUAGGCGGCUCGAUAAGUCCGCUGUGAAAGUCCAGGGCUCAACCCUGGAAGGCCGGUGGAAACUGUCGGGCUAGAGUCCGGAAGAGGCGAGUGGAAUUCCCGGUGUAGCGGUGAAAUGCGCAGAUAUCGGGAGGAACACCAAUGGCGAAGGCAGCUCGCUGGGACGGUACUGACGCUGAGACGCGAAAGCGUGGGGAGCAAACAGG